AUAUUCUUCUCCUUCCCUUCCUCUUGCCCUCCCUCUCUCUCUUUCUCCUCUCUCUCUGAACAUGAUAUGAGCUUUAAAUGGAUUCCAUUGUUCUUCAAGUUGCUUUUUGCUUAGUGGAUUUGUAUAGGAGACCAGGCUAAUGCUUUAUCCUUUUUAUAUAUGAUGUGUUCUUAUAUAAUGUUUUCUUUGAUACUGGUUAUGCUUUUUUCAUGCUUAUUAAAAUCCGAUCUAUGUUCAAUGAUGCAAAGGAUGGCUGACCAGUAUUUCAGAAAAGGUCAUCAAUAUUUUGCAAUAAAAGAAAAUCAAUUAUUCCUAUGAAAAUUUAAUUCUU
rnacentral:lncRNA from 1 species